AGGAGUUGAGAGUGGUGGACUGAGUAAACAAGGCACUCCUGUCACAGGGUUCAGGGAAAUAUCCUACUUCACCAGGAUGAGUAUCAAAGUACAUCUAUUGAGUCUCGUUCUCUUGCACAGGCUGGAGUGCAGUGGCACCAUCUCGGCUCACUGCAAGUUCUGGGCCGCCAGGAUUCAGGCGAUUCUCUUGUCUCAGCCUACCAAGUAGCUGGAACUACAGGUGUGCGCCACCAUGACUGGAUAAUCUUUUUGUAUUUUUAGUAGAGACUGGUUUUUGCCACGUUGACUAGGCUGGUCUCCAAUUCCUGAACUCAGCAAUCCGCCCACCUCAGCCUCCCAAAGUGCUGUGAUUACAGGGAUGAGCCACCAUCCCCGGCCGCCGGGCCGACUAGUGAAUUUCUAAUUAAAUAUCUAAUUUUGCAACCGAA